GACGAACGCUGGCGGCGUGCUUAACACAUGCAAGUCGAACGCUGAAGCUCAGCUUUUGUUGGGUGGAUGAGUGGCGAACGGGUGAGUAACACGUGAGUAACCUGCCUCCUUCUUUGGGAUAACGCCCGGAAACGGGUGCUAAUACUGGAUAUUCACUGGUCUUCGCAUGGGGGUUGGUGGAAAGGGUUUUUCUGGUGGGGGAUGGGCUCGCGGCCUAUCAGCUUGUUGGUGGGGUGAUGGCCUACCAAGGCUUUGACGGGUAGCCGGCCUGAGAGGGUGACCGGGCACAUUGGGACUGAGAUACGGCCCAGACUCGUACGGGAGGCAGAAGUGGGGAAUAUUGGCCAAUGGGCGAAAGACUGAUGCAGCGACGCCGCGUGAGGGAUGGAGGCCGUCGGGUUGUGAACCUCUUUCGCUCAUGGUCAAGCCGCAACAAUGGUUGUGGUGAGGGUAGUGGGUAAAGAAGCGCCGGCUAACUACGUG
rnacentral:rRNA from 1 species